rnacentral:rRNA from 1 species
GAUGAACGCUGGCGGCGUGCUUAACACAUGCAAGUCGAACGAGAAGUGAAGACGGAAACCUUCGGGCGGAAGGCUUUAUUUCGAGUGGCGGACGGGUGAGUAACGCGUGGGUAACCUGCCUCAUACAGGGGGAUAACAGUUGGAAACGACUGUUAAUACCGCAUAAGACCACAGCACCGCAUGGUGCGGGGGUAAAAACUCCGGUGGUAUGAGAUGGACCCGCGUUCGAUUAGCCAGUUGGCGGGGUAACGGCCCACCAAAGCGACGAUCGAUAGCCGAUCUGAGAGGAGGACCGGCCACAUUGGGACUGAGACACGGCCCAAACUCCUACGGGAGGCAGCAGUGGGGAAUAUUGCACAAUGGGGGAAGCCCUGAUGCAGCGACGCCGCGUGAGUGAAGAAGUAUUUCGGUAUGUAAAGCUCUAUCAGCAGGGAAGAAAAUGACGGUACCUGAGUAAGAAGCCCCGGCUAACUACGUG